rnacentral:rRNA from 1 species
GGAAUAUUGCGCAAUGGGGGCAACCCUGACGCAGCCAUGCCGCGUGAAUGAAGAAGGCCUUCGGGUUGUAAAGUUCUUUCGGUAGCGAGGAAGGCAUUUAGUUUAAUAUACUAGGUGAUUGACGUUAACUACAGAAGAAGCACACGCCAACUCCGAGCCAGCAGCCGCGGUAAUACGUAGGGUGCGAGCGUUAAUCGGAAUAACUGGGCGUAAAGGUCACGCAGGCGGUGACUUAAGUGAGGUGUGAAAGCCCCGGGCUUAACCUGGGAAUUGCAUUUCAUACUGGGUCGCUAGAGUACUUUAGGGAGGGGUAGAAUUCCACGUGUAGCGGUGAAAUGCGUAGAGAUGUGGAGGAAUACCGAAGGCGAAGGCAGCCCCUUGGGAAUGUACUGACGCUCAUGUGCGAAAGCGUGGGGAGCAAAC